rnacentral:lncRNA from 1 species
GCCCCCGGCCUGCUUCCCCUCACAGCGCCGCUCACAGCUCCCCGGCCCGCGCCCGCGGGGUGGUCUGCUGUCGGGCUGCGUCCCCGGUGCCCGGCCUGGGGAGGGACUCAAGCCCGGCCCCCGGCAGUCCGGGCCUCGGGCAAGCCCGCGUCACCCCGCACUCCCUUCCAGUGCGGUUUGCCCUCCCCGCCCCUUGGGAGGCCCAGGGCACCCUGACUCACCCAGUCACAGCCAGAAGGUGGGUGGGGGCCAGGUGGACAAACAAACGGCGCUCCAGCUUCCCGCAGAGGAUCCACCGAGCCAGUGGAAAGUCCAGGCCCGCCCAGGGUGGGCACGCCCCUCAGCCCUGCCCCUGCGUGCCCCCGCCCCCGCGCACACCCGCCUCUGUGCCAUCAUGUCCCUUUACCGGGACCCAUGCGGCGGCGCGGGGGUGUCAGGGUCACUGCCAAGCGUGUGAGGUCGUGGGGCGACCCAGCGUGCCUGAGGUUGGUGCCCAGGUGGUGGAUGCUGUGCCUCCACGAUGGUGGGUGCCCAGGACCGAGCGGCGGCACGCAGCGAGCAGCAGCGUGGGGCAGGUCAACAGCCUGUGCGCGUGUGCUCCGGCCCCCCAGCACCCGGGAGCAGGCCUGGCACGCGGUCAGCCCUCGGCGCCCGGGGCGGGAUAGGGGGACGCUGGGUGGGGGCCGCACACACCGGGCUGGGGUCUGGGCGUGCCGGGCACGUCGGCCCCGAGGCCUGGGUGACCGCUGCCCCCGGCCUGUGCUCUGUCCCUAGAAGCCGGGCAUCCUGGGGGACUCUCCACUGGGCGCGCUCCAGCCCGGAGCGCAGGCGCCCACCCCCCUCCUCGGGGAGCUGCCUGCAGGGGGAAGCCUGCCCCCCGAGCUGCCGCCCCGGCGAGGCAAGCCGCCGCCCCUGCUGCCGCCCCUGCUCGGCCCCUCGGGGGUUGACCGCGACGCCCUGAGCCUGGGCCCCCCGGCAGCCCAGCUCACCCCACCCCCUGCGCCCCCCGGGCUCCGCGGCGCGGGCCUCCGAGGCCUCCCAAAGGACAGCGGACCUCUGCCGACACCUCCGGGGGUAAGGCCCGCCCGCCCCCA